rnacentral:rRNA from 1 species
UACGUAGGGUGCGAGCGUUAAUCGGAAUUACUGGGCGUAAAGCGUGCGCAGGCGGUUUGUUGAGUCUGAUGUGAAAGCCCCGGGCUAAACCUGGGAAUGGCGUUGGAAACUGGCGAGCUGGAGUGUGGCAGAGGGGGGUGGAAUUCCGCGUGUAGCAGUGAAAUGCGUAGAGAUGCGGAGGAACACCGAUGGCGAAGGCAGCCCCCUGGGCUAACACUGACGCUCAGGCACGAAAGCGUGGGGAGCAAACAGG